rnacentral:rRNA from 1 species
AUUGAACGCUGGCGGCAUGCUUUACACAUGCAAGUCGAACGGGCUUGGGGGCUUGCUCCCAAGUUAGUGGCGAACGGGUGAGUAAUACAUCGGAACGUACCGUGUAGUGGGGGAUAACGUAGCGAAAGUUACGCUAAUACCGCAUACGAUCUACAGAUGAAAGCAGGGGACCUUCGGGCCUUGUGCUAUACGAGCGGCCGAUGUCUGAUUAGCUGGUUGGUGAGGUAAAGGCUCACCAAGGCGACGAUCAGUAGCGGGUCUGAGAGGAUGAUCCGCCACACUGGGACUGAGACACGGCCCAGACUCCUACGGGAGGCAGCAGUGGGGAAUUUUGGACAAUGGGCGAAAGCCUGAUCCAGCCAUGCCGCGUGUCUGAAGAAGGCC